rnacentral:misc_RNA from 1 species
CUAUAACAGUUCAUCCUCUUAACUAUUCUCUAGACUUCUUCCUUCUGUACUUUUUCCUCACAUAUGUAACAAUCUUUAGCACCUUCUUGCCCCAAGAAGGGUGCAAAAUCUGGAAAUUGGGACAUGAUGAAUGAGGCAUCCUCCCAUGUUGCUGAAUAGUGAAGCCAUUUGAUGAGAACUUGUGAGACUGGUAGACUGUUCCUGGAGAUAACGCUUGACUGCAAUAGUUUUUCAGGGGCUACCUGCCGUAGUUCUUCUUGCAACACUAGAAGCUCUAUGUUAGGGUUUAUGAAAGCCUAAGAGAAAGAAAUAGGAAAAUAGAGGUAAGAAUAGAAAGAAGAGAGAAUAGAAGAGAGAUAGUGUAUUGUUGCUAAUUCUUGGAAUGAAUUACAACAAGGUUACAGUUGAAGUAUUUAUAAACAAUAACUGCCUUGUAACUACUUCAGCUGACUAUUCUAGCUAACACAACAGAAUUAGUUACGCUUCCUGCUAAUUACUAACUCCUCAACUCUUCUAGAAUUCCUAAUCACAUCUUAUUCUUAUAUUUCCUCCUAUAAUAUGUAACAAUACCCCCUCCUCUGGUAUUUUCUUGUCCCCAAGGAAGUGGAACUUCAGGGAACUGGCCUUCAGUAAAGCACUAUCAUCCCAGGUGGCGUCUUUUGCCGACAGAUUAAGCCAUUUUAUAAGCCCUUGUUCCACAUGCUGGUCCCCUCUCAUGACAACUCUAGUCUACAAUACCUGUUCAGGAACCACUUGAAUGCGAUCAUCUUCCAUAAUAGGCCAAUCAGUAGCAACAAGAACACCAUCUCCGACCUUCUUCUCAAGCAUAGACAGAUGAAAAAACAGGAUGAAUAGCAGAUAUUGGAGGCAAAUCCAGGUGAUAAGUCACCUUCCCAACUCUUGCCAAAAUUCUGUUUGGCCCAUAAAACUUGGCAGGCAGCUCAAGGACUUGUCUUACAUCAAUUUGAGUUUGCCUGUAUAGCUGGAGCUUCAAAUAAACCCAAUCCCCAACACCAAACUCCCUCCCAGUCCUCCUUUUGUCAGCCUGCUGAGUCAUUCUGUGCUAGGCCACUUGUCAAUUCUCUUUCAAUAGAUGAUUAAGCUGCUGCCUCUCUUUUAAUAACUUCCUUAGAGCCCCUACUGAUGAAUCAAGUUUCUUCUUCAUGAAAUGUGGGAGGAGCAUACCCAUACAAUGCAUCAAAUGGAGUCAUUUGAAUAGCAUCGUGAGAAGAUGAAUUGCACCACCAUUUUGCUGUAGGCAACCAAGACCUCUAAUUAGGGGGCUUUAAAUGGACCAUGCACAUCAAAUAAUUGUCCACACAUUGAUUAACUCUUUCAGUCUACCCAUCGGAUUUAGGAUGAUAGGCAGAACUAAAAUUGAGUUUAACUUCCAUGCUCUUAAAAAAUUCCUGCCAAAAUGAGCUAGUAACACUUUGUCCCUAUCAGAAACAAUCACUUGAGGAGGACCAUGCAAUCUAAAAAUGUCAUCCAUGAAAAGUUGAGCAACAGAAAUAGCAGAAAAUGGGUGUGCCAGUGGAAGAAAAUGGGCAAACCUGAAUCUACACACAACCACCAAAAUAGUAUAAUGCCCCUUUGACUUAGGCAGGCCUUCAAUAAAAUCUAUAGACACCUGCUGCCAUGCUUGAGUAGGAAUAGGUGGAGGCUGUAACAACCCUGGAUACGCACAAUGUUCCCUCUUACAUAUAGCACAAGUCUCACAAGUACUAACUCAAUGUGUUACAUCACUAAACGUUCUAGGCCA